AGUAAAUUAAACUUAAAUAAAUUACAGAAUUGACAAAAGCAUGAAAUUAAGGUGAAAGGAUAGGUGUCGGACUAGCUAAAGGGUUCUUCUCCACACAUGACACAUAUGCAACCUAAAUUGAUUUUCAGUUGUUCUUUCAAUAAAUUGUAAAUCUCAAUGUUCCAAGUUAAUUAGGUCCGCUUAAAUUAACUCUUAGAUUUCCCUAGAUUCAUUGGAUUGAAUGGAAUACGUAUUACAACCAA
rnacentral:lncRNA from 1 species